GUGCUCUUACCCACUGAGCCAUCUCACCAGCCCCAGGUUUUUCUUUUUUUAAUUUUGGGACUGAGAUGGGGAUGUGCUACUGGGUACUGCUAACCCUUAUGUACACAGGAUUCCUCACCACAGUUGUGAACUAGAAUGUUUACAGUGCCCUGUCUGAGAAAGCAGUGACCAAGCGGAUGCUAGGAGGCAAGUGAUAGCUGUAGCUUCAACUUGAUUAGAUGAGUGCGAGAGUGACCUCAGCUUCGCGUAGGGAGGAAGUCGGGGAGGUUGUCUUCUGAGUGACAGCAGUCCUAAGUGGGAAGAGUGCAGUAUCAGGUAUAGCUGACAAGUUUGGUUUGUUCGGUUGUUUUUGAGACUGGAACUUAGUAUGUAGACCAGGCUAGUCCUCUGAGAUCUGCCUCUUAGCCUUCGAGGUACUGGGACUAAAGCUGGGUGUGCCUUGUCUUGCAAGUCUAUUCGGGCCAACAGUUUGGAAAAGCUAUUGCUGGGCCUGGAGAGAUGGCCCAACUAUUAAGAGCACUGCUGCUCUUUUUUUUUUUUUUUUUUUUUUUUUGAGACAGGACCUGGUUAAAUUCCCAGAACCCACAUGGUGGAUCUUAACUGCCUAUAGCUCCAGUCCCAGGGGAUCCGAUGCCUCCACAAUAUUGCAUCUGCAUGGUGCACAGACAUAUAUGCAGGCAAAAUACCCAUACACAUAAAAUAAAAGUAAAGGUUAAAAAAAUAAAGAAAAAGAAAACUCACUGCCAUGUAUGUUUCACAAAGAGCAACCUCUUAAAAUAGAGGUUCAGCCGCUCACCAGAUAAUGGGAGUGGAAAAUCAGGGAUACGAUUUUACAUCUAUGGGCUGGGGAAAUGGCGCAAUAGUUAGGAGCGUUUAUGGCUCUAGCAGAGGACCUGAGGUUGGUUCCCAGUGCCCAGAUCACUAGGCCCACACACACCUGCCUGUAGCUCCAGGGCCCUCCUCUGGCCUCCACAGGCACUGUAUGCACAUGUGCUCAUAGCACCACACGGACACACAUACGCAAAAUUAAAAAUAAGUACUGAAAAAAAUCAAUAUUCGUACAGUCUUAUCCCACAUAGAGUGGCAGUUCUUUCAAGAUUUGAAAUUCCAAAACGGUUUAAGGUUGGGUGCCAUUUUGUAUCACAUUUAAAGCAAUGACCUUCUGUAACACGAUGUGCUUAACAGUACUUGAUAUAUACACAUGCGCACACACAUACACAUCCUGGAACCUGUUGUGUUGGGUUAAGUUGAUAGAACUCGUGAACAUAUGGAAAGACUUUUAAAUUUUUGUAUGUGUACAUAUGUAGUGUGAGCACGCUGCAUUGCCUUGGUGUACCUACGGAGGACAGAGAACAACUCGGAGGAGUUGGAGUCAGUUCCCAGCUCAUCCAUGUGGUUCUGGGGACGGAGCAUGGGUCAGCAAGCUUACCGGCAGGCAAGCACUUUUACCUGUUAAGCUAUGUUGCCAGUAUACAGAAGACUUUUAAAACUAUGUAGUUUAACCUUUAACACUGGUCCUGUGUAAGCAACAGCUUACAGGUACAUUGGUUACAGAAUGAAAACACAAGAACCCAUUAGUGAACAUUGACUUUUGUAGAAAUAGUGUAUGAACAUGGACAGUAUUUCAGAGACAGCUCAGUCAGAAGCACUGAUCAGGCUAGACAGCAGGUGCACACCUGAACCCAGCACUCAGGAAGCUCAUGGAGACCCUGGGCCAGAAAAUAAUAUCAUUGGGACCCGGUCAUCCAAAGGACAAAUUCCUUGGUUGCAGUGGUCUUUUAAUUUUUAUACCCAAAUUUAUAUAUACUGUGUAUAAAUAUUUAUUUAACUAAGUAGGUAGUUACUAGCUAGUAACUAGUUUACUAAUUAAUCUUAGGACCUUUUGAAGUAUUAUUAUAUUGUCAUAUUAUUAUUAUUAUUAUAUCAAUUAUUGUACAUUUCCGGAAGGUCAGUUGUUAAUGUUCCAAGUUGACUGUUUUUUGCAUUAAUAAAAUAAAUUUGAAACUAUUUUAACCUCACUAAUUGAAAAACUAAUAUAAAGGUUUGAAUCCCGUAAAUACUUAUAGCUUUUAGAAACCUGUGAAUGUCAGUAUGAGUAUACACCUGUGUAGCUAUAUCACUACAAUCAGGGUGUAGUAUAAUUCCCACCCAAAUCUCUCUCCAGUCCCCUUGCGUCGUCUCUCACCUCCCCAGCCCCCAUCACUGUAGCUUUGUCUUCUGGAGAAGAUCACAGAGAUGGAACCAUCCAGAAUGGAACCUGUAAAGAUGACUUGUAUGCAGUGUCUUUGAGGUGUAUUGAGUUUCUGUGCACAGCAGCAGCUUGUUGAGUUUUAUUGCCAGGUAAUAGCCUAUUGUUGAGUGUACACUAAUCCCUCACCAUUUGAAGGACAUUUGGAUUGGUUCCAAUUUGUUGGUGGUUAUGAACAGAACCACUAUAAACAUUCACAGGAAGGUUUGGGGGGACCACUGUGUCACAUGAUGUAUGUGUUACCACUAUAAAAAGCCAUGGGCUUCUCUGUUGGUGCUGUGUUUGUUUGUGAUUUUGGACAGGCUCUUGUGUAGUCAAGCCUGACUUCAACCUCAGGUUCCUCCUGCCUCAGCCUCCCAAGUACUAUAAAUGUGCUACCAGAUCUGGCUUUCCCUCAACUUUUAUUUUAUUUGAAACAGGCUUUAACUGUAGCACUGGUCAGUUAAUGGAACUCUGAUGUAAAACGGUGCUGGCAUUGUAGGUCUAAACCACCAUGUCAGUCUCCUUAUUUAUUUGUUUAUUUACAUUUUAUUUUAAGUUUAACCGUUAUUGCCUGUGUAUGAUGUCUGUGUGUGAGAGAAUAUGGUGCUACAGAGUGGAGACAGGAGGAGGGUCUCAGGGACUCACAACAAGCAGCAGGCUCCAGACUCAGGUUGUAUAAUGAAACUGCAUGAUUUCCUUCCCACAUAUUCUUGACAUCUCUUUUCUCACAUGGACCUAUUUCUGUUUCAGUUAAUAUAUAUUUAUAUCAUAAAUGCAGGUGAUUUUGUAAUGGUUCUCAUUCUAUACAUACCAUUUUGUUGUUGUUUAAAGUUUUGAAGUUUAAAGUUUAAAGUAUUUGUUACAGUAAAUAAUGCUGUACGGAUGUCCCCACUCAUCAUGCUUGUGGUGGUGAGUUCUUCCCUGCCCAGCUCCAAAAGCAGGUACUCCUCAGAAUAGGAAAAGCACUAACCACACUCAGGCAAGGUGUUCCCGAUUCCCAGGCCAUGAGCUGGAGGCAGCAGUGCCAGUUAAUGCCAAAAGUCAGUCAGGUUAUCUUGGCAUCAGUCACUUGGGGAUUUAUACCAUAAAACGUAUUUACCCAUGUUGAUACAUGGAUUCUGGUGAAAAAACCAAGCCCAUUUGUUCACUGAUAGUCUAUACCAAAUAAACAGAAUAUUUAAAAGCAUCAGAACUUAAAAAACAAAACCGCCAGUUUUUUUUAAAGCUGACUUGGGCAACUUAGCAAGAUUUUGUCUCAAAAAUAAAUAAGGGCUAGGAAUAUAUCUCAGUGGUAAAGCUCUUACAGUGGAGGCCCUGGGUUUCAUUUCCAGUGCAGGGUGGAGGCUGGAAGAAGCAGUAGGAGAACCAAAAAACAAAAUGUCUCUCUUGAGAAAAACAAACAAAGCAGAUUCCUUUUUUUUUUAAAACC